rnacentral:rRNA from 1 species
CUACGGGUUGCUGCAGUGGGGAAUAUUGCGCAAUGGGCGAAAGCCUGACGCAGCGACGCCGCGUGAAGGACGAAGGUCUUCGGAUUGUAAACUUCUGUUAAGUGGGAAGAAAGGUUCAUUCCUAAUAAGAAUGAGCAAUGACGGUACCAUUAGAGAAAGCACCGGCUAAUCUCGUGCCAGCAGCCGCGGUAAUACGAGAGGUGCAAACGUUACUCGGAAUGAUUGGGCGUAAAGGGUGCGUAGGCGGCAUAUUAAGUCAACUGUUAAAUUCCUUGGCCUAACUGGGGAAGUGCAGUAGAUACUGGUGUGCUCGAGGAUGGAAGGGAGAAGUGGAAUUCUCGGAGUAGCGGUAAAAUGCGUGGAUCUCGAGAGGAACACCGAUAGCGAAAGCAGCUUCUUGGUCCAUUUCUGACGCUGAGGCACGAAAGCGUGGGGAGCAAACAGGAUUAGAUACCCGCGUAGUC